CUCCGGUGAAAUUCGACGACUCUGGCUAAAUUCAACGACUCGGAGGAAGAUUGUACACGGCAAACACGGAGAAGCUCUAGAGAAAAAGAAAGAUCUCCGACGAAGAAGAACGAAUAGUUCCGACGAAAAACAAAGAGAUCCGGUGAAGGAAGACGAGCUCUGGCGACAUACUUCGAUCUGUGUCUGGAGAUUUUAAAUUGGUCAGAUCUGAAGCUUCCUCAACUUGUGAUCGGACUCGCCGUGGGAAUCACAAUCAUCAUCGGCUUCGUCAAGACCAAUAGAUUCAAGGAAGCUUCUCCCCGCUGAGUUUUAUUCUUCCUGGGUCGUUUUCUCCGAGCGUCAGAAGUUAAAGUCUCCCCUAAUUGAGUAUAAAGCUUCUUCCUUUUUUUUUUUGCGAAUUGGUGUUCACUUUUGGCGUUUUUGUUUUACUUCAGUUGACUUGGCUGAACCAUCACUUGACUAAGAUCUGGCCUUAUGUUGAUGAGGCAGCCUCUGUGCUUAUAAGGGCAUCCGUAGAGCCGGAUCUCGAGCAAUAUAGACCUGCCUUUGUUGCCUCCUUGACAUUUUCUAAGCUUACUCUCGGUACCGUGGCGCCUCAGUUUACAGGUGUUUCCAUUAUAGAAGGUGAUGAAAAUGGGAUGACCAUGGAGCUUGAUAUGAAUUGGGAUGGGAAUCCAAAUAUAGUACUUGGCAUCAAGACCUUAGGUUGUGUAUCUCUUCCAGUUCAGGUACAGGACAUGUACCUCAUGCCUGCCUUGCAGAGCAUGUGAAGUCAUACUGAUGUUUUGUUUGUAGCUUUUCUAGUUUGCUCCAUGAUAAGCAGCUGACUACAACUGAUAUUAUAACACCCGUCACCUCCUAUCUAGAGAAAAAUGGGCCAGCAACAAUAACUCAUAACACAAUAGCCCAUAUACACAAAUCCACUCACCCAAAACCCAAAUAAAAAUCCGAAUAAAAAGUCCAGUAGCACCAAUCCGUCCAAAUAUCAUAUACUCGUCUGUCUCACCUGAAAUGGGGAAGAAAGAGGGGUGAGCAACUGGGGAGUCACUCAGUGAGGUAUGGGAUGCUAAACCCGAAGUUCAUUGACUUGGACAUAGCACUCCGAAUAAAUAUAAUUUAAUACUAAUACAUAACAAACACGGCACCUAAAGUACCCAAAAAUCAAACAAUGGUCCUAGCGACCGGCCCACUAACAAGCCCAAACCCACCGAAUAUAUGCUCGGCAACACACGCCCGGAGACGAUUUAUCGACCAACAGCUACGAUCAACCGGUCGACUAAAGCUGACCGUAACCAACACAAAACCCGGCCUACAGAUAAAACUCUCUGUACCCGGCAAAAUCCCAUACACAAUCAUAAUAAAUAAAUAUUAUAUUAAUAAUAUUAUAAUAUAUCAGUUCUAAAUGAAACAAUCAAAGUUGAACCAUCUAGAUCCUUAUAUCCGGUUUAAGCAAAGAACCUAAACUAUCACGCAUACUCCAAUCAGACAUCGGACUGACUCAAUUCACAAAGACGGAUACAUAUUAGAACUAAAUUGUGUUCACUCGAAAUCCUAGGCCGUGUACGAGAAAUUACGAGAAUAGCCCUCACCUUAGCCAAUAUCUGAAUUGGAUCGGGAACCCUCAGAAAUGGAUGUCUCGUGCAACAAGACUAAGCUUAGCAUGAAUUACUUAUGAAAUAAUUCACACAUACAGUUUCAUGUUUCCACCUGCGCAUGGCUUCAUACGAUUAGGGUUCAUGUUAUAGAGGUUACUUGCAUUACAAGAAACAACUAGUGUUACAAUUUAUUACCAAACACGUGAUGAUAAAGGUUGAGAAACUUAACUAACACGUGCUUGGAUCAUGGGGUCAUGGCAAUCAUGGCACGGCUUGGAUUACUGUAAUGGGUCCCAAACUCCGGUGACCCACGAUUCACCUUUGGUGACUUCAACUUACGGCAACGGCAAGGAAUGGUGUCGUUGGUGGUGGUGAUGACAGCGAUAACUCAAAGGCGGAGAGAAAGAAGCUUGGUGCACAAGAAAGAAUGAGAUUGUGGUCUCACUUGCCCAAGUCUCGACCGUGGUGGCUUGCAAUGAUUUUGGUGGCGAGGACGUGGCUUCCCGAUGAUGAGAAAAGGUAGACCAUGGUGGUGACUCACGGGUGUUGUCUUCUCCUUUUACACCAAGAGAAAUCCAUUAAGAAGAAGAAGGAGAUGUGGAGAGACCACGCUCGUGGAUGGCAACAAGGGAGGAGGCGGCUUGGAUUGAAGAAGGAGAUACGUAUAUGUUUAUAUAUUAGGUAUAGAAACACAC